rnacentral:ncRNA from 1 species
CAUCCUAGUCUCAACCAUAAACGAUGCCAACUAGGGAUCAACGGAUGUUUCUCUAAGGACUCCGCCAACACCUUAUGAGAAAUCAGAGUGUUUGGGUUCCGGUGGGAUUAUGGUCGCAAGGAUGAAACUUAAAGGAAUUGACGGAAGGGCACCGCUAGGAGUGGAUCCUGCGGCUUAAUUCGACUCAACACGGGAAAACUUACCAGGUCGAGACAUAGUAAGGAUUGACAGAUUGAGAGCUCUUUCUUGAUUCUAUGGGUGGUGGUACAUGGUUGUUCUUAGUUGGUGGAGAGAUUUGUCUGGUUAAUUCCGAUAAUGAACGAGACCUCAUCUUGCUAACUAGCUACGUGGAGGUUCCCCUUCGCAGCUAAUGUCUUAGAGGGACUAUGGUCAUUUAGGUCAUGGAAGUUUGAGGCAAUGAUAGGUCUAUGAUGCCCUUAGAUGAUCCGGGCCACACGCGUGCUACACUGAUGCAGUUGACAAGUUUUUCUCCCUGGUUCAAGAGGAUCAGGAAAUUAUUGCAUUGUGAUGGGGAUAGACCAUUGAAAUUAGUGGUCUUGAAUGAGGUAUUCCUAGUAAGCAUUUUUCAUCAUCUCAUGUUGAAUACGUCCAUGCCCUUUGUACACACCACCCAUCACUCCUAUCGAUUGAAUGAUCCGAUAAAGUGUUUGGAUCGCGUCAACGAGGGUGGUUCAUCGUCGACGAUGUCGUGAGAAGUUCAUUGAACCUUAUCAUUUAGAUCAAGGAUAAGUCGUAACAAGGUUACCGUAGGUGAACCUUCCAAAUAUUUAUGU